GGGCGAAUGUGGUUCUGUUCCUUACGAUUAAGAUGCUGAAUGGUUCUGAAUGGCUGUGUUAUUCUGCAGUGUUAUAGAUGCUGUCCAGGUAUAUCAAUUCAGUGGAUUGGUGAUGGCUUGGGUGAAUUGGUGAUGUCAGUGGCUUGGGUGAAGUUUAGUUUUUCUGUUAUGCUCCUCUUCUGCUUCUUUUUGUUUUGGUUUGUUGUUGGUUUCUCACCAACUGGCGCUUGGAGCUUUAGUUAGCUCCAAGCUCCUCUUUAUUGAUGUCCUGUAUACUUUUUGCAUACCUUCAUCAAUAAAGAUUUUCUUUGCCGAUCAAAAAAAAAAAAAA